rnacentral:rRNA from 1 species
UAGGGAAUAUUGGACAAUGGGCGCAAGCCUGAUCCAGCCAUGCCGCGUGAGUGAAGAAGGCCCUCGGGUUGUAAAGCUCUUUUGUCCGGAAAGAAAAGCAUCGGGCUAAUACCCUGGUGUUCUGACGGUACCGGAAGAAUAAGCACCGGCUAACUUCGUGCCAGCAGCCGCGGUAAUACGAAGGGUGCAAGCGUUACUCGGAAUUACUGGGCGUAAAGCGUGCGUAGGUGGUUUGUUAAGUCUGAUGUGAAAGCCCUGGGCUCAACCUGGGAAUGGCAUUGGGAAACUGGCGGACUCGAGUGCGGUAGAGGGGUGUGGAAUUCCCGGUGUAGCAGUGAAAUGCGUAGAGAUCGGGAGGAACACCAGUGGCGAAGGCGACACCCUGGACCAGCACUGACACUGAGGCACGAAAGCGUGGGGAGCAAACAGGAUUAGAUACCCUGGUAGUCCACGCCCUAAACGAUGCGAACUGGAUGUUGGGUGCAACUUGGCACUCAGUAUCGAAGCUAACGCGUUAAGUUCGCCGCCUGGGGAGUACGGUCGCAAGACUGAAACUCAAAUGAAUUGACGGGGUCAUAGCUG